UACAGAGGGUGCGAGCGUUGUUCGGAAUUAUUGGGCGUAAAGGGCGCGUAGGCGGCGCCACAAGUCACUUGUGAAAACUCUGGGCUCAACUCAGAGCCUGCAAGCGAAACUGUGGUGCUGGAGUAUGGGAGAGGUGCGUGGAAUUCCUGGUGUAGCAGUGAAAUGCGUAGAUAUCAGGAGGAACAUCGAUGGCGAAGGCAGCCCCCUGGGCCUGUACUGACGCUCAUGCACGAAAGCGUGGGGAGCAAACAGG
rnacentral:rRNA from 1 species